rnacentral:rRNA from 1 species
CUCCUUUGACGUUAGCGGCGGACGGGUGGGUAACACGUGGGUAACCUACCUAUAAGACUGGGAUAACUUCGGGAAACCGGAGCUAAUACCGGAUAAUAUUUCGAACCGCAUGGUUCGAUAGUGAAAGGUGGUUUUGCUAUCACUUAUAGAUGGACCCGCGCCGUAUUAGCUAGUUGGUAAGGUAACGGCUUACCAAGGCGACGAUACGUAGCCGACCUGAGAGGGUGAUCGGCCACACUGGAACUGAGACACGGUCCAGACUCCUACGGGAGGCAGCAGGC